rnacentral:rRNA from 1 species
GAGACCUCAGGUCAGGCGGGGCUACCCGUUGAGUUUAAGCAUAUCAAUAAGCGGAGGAAAAG